AGGACAUUAAGAAUCAAACUCGAUGUUUUGAGAUUUCACCUUAGAGACAUGGCAAGGAGGUGCCCGAAACCCUACAAAGAUGGAAGGAUACUUUGCGAGCGAUAGGAGAUAAGAGUGGAUGGGUUUUUAACAACGGGGAUGAUCAAUCAGAGUUGGUCAGGUCAGUCGUCCAAAGUUCUUGGAUCCGAUUGAAUAUGGUUCCCUUGAUAGGUGUUAAAAACCCUCUUGGAUUAGAAUCCCGCAUUGAAUCUGUGUUAUCUCUACUA